rnacentral:rRNA from 1 species
GAUGAACGCUAGCGGGAGGCCUAACACAUGCAAGCCGAGCGGUAUUGUUUCUUCGGAAAUGAGAGAGCGGCGUACGGGUGCGGAACACGUGUGCAACCUGCCUUUAUCUGGGGGAUAGCCUUUCGAAAGGAAGAUUAAUACUCCAUAACAUAUUGAUUGGCAUCAAUUAAUAUUGAAAGCUCCGGCGGAUAGAGAUGGGCACGCGCAAGAUUAGCUAGUUGGUGAGGUAACGGCUCACCAAGGCGAUGAUCGUUAGGGGGCCUGAGAGGGUGAUCCCCCACACUGGUACUGAGACACGGACCAGACUCCUACGGGAGGCAGCAGUGAGGAAUAUUGGUCAAUGGGUGCAAGCCUGAACCAGCCAUCCCGCGUGAAGGACGACUGCCCUAUGGGUUGUAAACUUCUUUUGUAUAGGGAUAAACCUACCCUCGUGAGGGUAGCUGAAGGUACUAUACGAAUAAGCACCGGCUAACUCCGUGCCAGCAGCCGCGGUAAUACGGAGGGUGCAAGCGUUAUCCGGAUUUAUUGGGUUUAAAGGGUCCGUAGGCGGACUUAUAAGUCAGUGGUGAAAGCCUGUCGCUUAACGAUAGAACUGCCAUUGAUACUGUAAGUCUUGAGUAUAUUUGAGGUAGCUGGAAUAAGUAGUGUAGCGGUGAAAUGCAUAGAUAUUACUUAGAACACCAAUUGCGAAGGCAGGUUACCAAGAUAUAACUGACGCUGAGGGACGAAAGCGUGGGGAGCGAACAGGAUUAGAUACCCUGGUAGUCCACGCCGUAAACGAUGCUAACUCGUUUUUGGGCUUUAGGGUUCAGAGACCAAGCGAAAGUGAUAAGUUAGCCACCUGGGGAGUACGCUCGCAAGAGUGAGACUCAAAGGAAUUGACGGGGGCCCGCACAAGCGGUGGAUUAUGUGGUUUAAUUCGAUGAUACGCGAGGAACCUUACCAAGACUUAAAUGGGAAUUGACAGCUUUAGAAAUAGAGCUUUCUUCGGACAAUUUUCAAGGUGCUGCAUGGUUGUCGUCAGCUCGUGCCGUGAGGUGUUAGGUUAAGUCCUGCAACGAGCGCAACCCCUGUCACUAGUUGCCAUCAUUCAGUUGGGGACUCUAGUGAGACUGCCUACGCAAGUAGAGAGGAAGGUGGGGAUGACGUCAAAUCAUCACGGCCCUUACGUCUUGGGCCACACACGUAAUACAAUGGCCGGUACAGAGGGCAGCUACACAGCGAUGUGAUGCAAAUCUCGAAAGCCGGUCUCAGUUCGGAUUGGAGUCUGCAACUCGACUCUAUGAAGCUGGAAUCGCUAGUAAUCGCGCAUCAGCCAUGGCGCGGUGAAUACGUUCCCGGGCCU